UUGAAGGAAAACAAGGGAGACAGGAA
rnacentral:miRNA from 1 species